AGGAGCCGGAUGACAAGAAAUUGUCACGUCCGGUUCUGGAGCCGAGCCGGAGAGGGUUACCUUUUCAGCUUAG
rnacentral:ncRNA from 1 species